GCGCUCCAGCCCCAGCUCCUUCAUGCCUUUCCGCUCCCUUUUGGUCUUGUCGCCGCCGCCGCCGCCGUCCUGCCGCUCUAGCUCCUUCUUCACGUCGCCGGCCAGCCGCAGCUCGGCGUCGAUGUCCAGCAAUUCAGCUCAGCAUUUUUCGACACAAAUCCAACAAGAGAAAAGUGCUGACCGGUGGAAACAUGGAGGAGCAUCUUGAGAUUGGCACACUUCUUGGCGAACUGGCACAGAAGUUGGUGGUUGCAGCUCCAUUGACGAUGAUGUCGACCUCGUUGGCCAGCUCCUCCAACCUGGGAGCAUCUAGCCCCAUGUUCUCGAAGACGACGUCACCGGCCAAAGGGACAACCUUCUCCUCCACAAACAGCUCGAAUCCUCCCUUGCCAUGCUUCUCUUUCAGGAGGCAGAAGAGCUCAGUGUCUGUCACCUGAACCAUCAAAUAAGCGUUUCGUCCUCAUUUUGCUGAAAACUCAGUUUGCACUGUCUGUACUAUUUCUUUAGUAAUAACCACACAUGCCAUUCGUGGAUGAUUAAUCGUGCGUUGCGACGUUUCA